GACGAACGCUGGCGGCGUGCCUAAUACAUGCAAGUAGAACGCUGAAGAGAGGAGCUUGCUCUUCUUGGAUGAGUUGCGAACGGGUGAGUAACGCGUAGGUAACCUGCCUUGUAGCGGGGGAUAACUAUUGGAAACGAUAGCUAAUACCGCAUAACAAAGGAUGACACAUGUCAUUUAUUUGAAAGGGGCAAUUGCUCCACUACAAGAUGGACCUGCGUUGUAUUAGCUAGUAGGUGAGGUAAUGGCUCACCUAGGCGACGAUACAUAGCCGACCUGAGAGGGUGAUCGGCCACACUGGGACUGAGACACGGCCCAGACUCCUACGGGAGGCAGCAGUAGGGAAUCUUCGGCAAUGGGGGCAACCCUGACCGAGCAACGCCGCGUGAGUGAAGAAGGUUUUCGGAUCGUAAAGCUCUGUUGUAAGUCAAGAACGGGUGUGAGAGUGGAAAGUUCACACUGUGACGGUAGCUUACCAGAAAGGGACGGCUAACUACGUG
rnacentral:rRNA from 1 species